GGCUGUCAUGGCCUAACGGAAGAAGCGCUUCAUUUAAGCAACCCUUGAUUUCAUGAAUCUAUAGUUGCCAAGGUGUCCCGUUCGAAUCCUGUGGUGGUCGACUUCUCUGGCCUGCGUAAGCGGCAUGUGAGAGUUACCUUAAGAAAUGAAUGAUUCUUCAGUUCGGCAACGAAGCAGAGACAUUCAAACCACGGGGUGGCGGUAUGGGAUUGCACUCUGGUAGCUGUGAGAAUAAGGAAUUGUGAGAAGUAUCGACUUUCAUCUU
rnacentral:SRP_RNA from 1 species